rnacentral:rRNA from 1 species
CCUACGGGUGGCAGCAGUGAGGAAUAUUGGUCAAUGGACGCGAGCCUGAACCAGCCAAGUAGCGUGAAGGAUGACUGCCCUAUGGGUUGUAAACCUCUUUUGUCUGGGAGCAAAAUGCUCCACGUGUGGCGUUCUGUAUGUACCCUAUGAAUAAGGAUCGGCUAACUCCGUGCCAGCAGCCGCGGUAAUACGGGGUAUGCGAGCGUUAUCCGGAUUUAUUGGGUUUAAAGGGUGCGUAGGCGGAAUACCAAGUCAGCGGUAAAAUGGCGGGGCUCAACCCGGGCCCGCCGGUGAAACUGGGGUUCUUGAGUGGGCGAGAAGUAUGCGGAAUGCGUGGUGUAGCGGUGAAAUGCAUAGAUAUCACGCAGAACUCCGAUUGCGAAGGCAGCAUACCGGCGCCCGACUGACGCUGAGGCACGAAAGCGUGGGUAUCGAACAGGAUUAGAUACCCGAGUAGUC